CCUACGGGAGGCUACAGUGGGGAAUAUUGCACAAUGGGGGAAACCCUGAUGCAGCGACGCCGCGUGAGUGAGGAAGUAUUUCGGUAUGUAAAGCUCUAUCAGCAGGGAAGUAAAUGACGGUACCUGACUAAGAAGCCCCGGCUAACUACGUGCCAGCAGCCGCGGUAAUACGGAGGGGGCAAGCGUUAUCCGGAUUUACUGGGUGUAAUGGGGGCGUAGGCGGUUAAUCAAGUCAGAAGUGAAAAGCCAGGGCUCAACCUUGGGACUGCCUUUGAAACUGUGUCCCUUGAGAGCGUGAAGGGUAGGCGGAAUGCGUGGUGUAGCGGUGAAAUGCAUAGAGAUCACACAGAACACCGAUCGCGAAGGCAGCCUACC
rnacentral:rRNA from 1 species